CCUACGGGUGGCAGCAGUGGGGAAUAUUGGACAAUGGGCGAAAGCCUGAUCCAGCCAUGCCGCGUGUGUGAAGAAGGCCUUCGGGUUGUAAGGCACUUUCAGUGGGGAAGAAAGCCUUGGGGCUAAUACCCUCGAGGAAGGACAUCACCCACAGAAGAAGCACCGGCUAACUCCGUGCCAGCAGCCGCGGUAAUACGGAGGGUGCGAGCGUUAAUCGGAAUUACUGGGCGUAAAGCGCGCGUAGGCGGUCUGAUAAGCCGGUUGUGAAAGCCCCGGGCUCAACCUGGGAACGGCAUCCGGAACUGUCAGGCUAGAGUGCAGGAGAGGAAGGUAGAAUUCCCGGUGUAGCGGUGAAAUGCGUAGAGAUCGGGAGGAAUACCAGUGGCGAAGGCGGCCUUCUGGACUGACACUGACGCUGAGGUGCGAAAGCGUGGGUAGCAAACAGGAUUAGAUACCCCUGUAGUC
rnacentral:rRNA from 1 species